rnacentral:rRNA from 1 species
AUGGGCGCGCCGCGUGUUCGGCGCCUGUUGUUGGAGAUGCUCUUAGUACUACCACUAGUUUCCUCAUUUGGGUUUCGCUCACCGUGGCCCUCUGCUCUGCUCCGACUCCGAGGAGAGUCUGCCGCUCCCAGCUGCUCCCCUGACCCUCGAGUGAUUUCUAAGGGGAGACGAGGAGGGAGGGAGAGAGGAGGAGCAAUGGGGGAGAGCGAGUACCGGUGCUGGGAGGAGCUGCUGCCGGACGCGCUGGGGCUCGUCUUCCGCAACCUGCCGCUGCAGGAGGUGCUGACGGUGGUGCCGCGGGUGUGCAAGUCCUGGGGGCGCGUCGUGGCCGGGCCCUACUGCUGGCAGGAGAUCGACAUCGAGGAGUGGAGCCAGCAGCGGCACAGCCGCCCGGACCACCUCAUCCGCAUGCUCGACCUGCUCCUCCGCCGCAGCUCCGGCGCCUGCCGCCGCAUCAGCGUCUCCGGCCUCCCCUGCGACCCGCUCUUCUCCUUCAUCGGCGACCACGCGCGCGCUCUGAGGACGCUGGAGAUCCCGCGGAGCGAGAUCAGCGACGCCGUGGUGGAGGCGGUGGCGCCGGGGCUGCCCAACCUCACGUUCCUGGACAUCAGCAGCUGCACCAAGAUCGGGGCGCGCGCGCUGGAGGCGUUCGGCCGCCACUGCCGGUCCCUGGCGGCGCUCCGGCGCGUGAUGCACCCGAUCGACGUGGCCGGGCGCAACGCGUGCGGGCAGCACGACGAGGCCCGCGCCAUCGCGCGCACCAUGCCGGCGCUCCGCCACCUGGAGGUCGGCUACAUGCUGGUCACCACGGAGGCCAUCCUGGAGGUGCUCUCCCGGUGCCGGGGCCUGGAGUUCGUCGACCUGCGCGGCUGCUGGGCCGUCGACGAGGCGCUGCUGCGGGCGCGCCACCCGCGGCUCAGCGUCCUCGGCCCGGGCGUCGACGACUGCUUCGAGAACAGCUACUGGGAGGAGUGCUCCGACGACGACUCUGAGGACGACGAGGUCUACUCGUGGGAGCUCAUGGACGACGACGAGUACUACGGCGUGGUCGGCAGCGACGACGACGAGGCCGUGUGGGGCGACGGGCCGGGCCUCGUGGAGAACCUCGAGGUGCGGUUCUACGGCGGCGGCUUCAGCGAGAGCUACGCCGGCAUCGACUGGCCAGCGUCGCCGUGA